AAUUGCAUGGCCUAGGACUGACACGAAGGCACAGUUGGAUUGCAAGUUCAAACCUUUUUACAGAUAUUUUCGUGUUUGAAUAAAACAUGUGUCCCAAUAGACUAUAUAUGAAAGACCAUCUGCAUGAUUUAUUAGCAUCUUUAUCUGACUUGUCUUUUUACAAUGCAUUGAAAGUUGCAUCUCAAGAAACUCCACUCUCCACCACUGGCCCUCCUAUAGGAAAGUUGUAAGUAGUGUGUCCAACUUUAACUUCUCCAGUCUCCACAAAUCCCGCAUGCAUAUUAUAAACAGUGAAAAUCCCCUAAGUGCAUCAGUAUGUCACGGACCGGAUAACUCCCUAGCUAUCUUCCGUGCGGCCUUAGUCACAAUCCGCCCCCUGCGAUGUGCUAAGUCAGCCUUUCCCCGAAAUAUUGUCACAACAAAGCUAAAAGAAGCUAAGAAGAGAAGCUUGCAAGAAUGCUUUGUAUUAAACAAGAGAAUGCUUUGUACAAG
rnacentral:lncRNA from 1 species